rnacentral:misc_RNA from 1 species
UUGACGACAUCGCGACGGGGGCUGCGAGAUCGACAGCGAGUGGCCCAUCCUGGCGAGCGCGACUCAGCGGAGGGCGUCGCUGCUGCUGCGGCUUUGGCAUUUUGUCAAACACUACGCAAGCACGACAGCGCAGGGAGUACACUGUUGUCGCUUGGCGGGGUUGAGGAGUAUGGGAUGGCUCUGGGGAGGGAGCUCCUUGCUGCAGGCAUGCAUGGGAGAGGGACGCCUGCACUUGGGGAGGGCGCUGGCUGGGAGAGGUGGCUCGGCUGGGGGAUUUUCUGGGUGCCAUGGCUGGGAGCAGAGGGUCAAGGGGCGCUGGCCAUAGUGUUCCCUGCGCGCAGGGGAACAGCAGGGGAAAAAAGAAAUGGAGCAGGGAGGGCGCCGAGGCAGAGGGGAAACUGCAGGGGGUGGUGCCAUGGGAAGGAGUGGAACUCGAGCGCCGGCCAUGGAGAAGAGUAG